GACGAACGCUGGCGGCGUGCUUAACACAUGCAAGUCGAGCGAGAACCGUAGCAAUACGGGGACAGCGGCGAAAGGGACAGUAAUGUGUAGGUACCUACCUCCGGGUUCGGGAUAGCUGCGGGAAACUGCAGGUAAUACCGAAUAACGUCUCCGGACCAAAGGUGUGAUUCCACCUGGAGAGGGGCCUGCAUCCUAUUAGCUUGUUGGCGGGGUAACGGCCCACCAAGGCGACGAUGGGUAGCGGGUGUGAGAGCACGACCCGCGUCAUUGGGACUGAGACACUGCACAGACACCUACGGGUGGCUGCAGUCGUGAAUCUUCGGCAAUGGGCGCAAGCCUGACCGAGCGACGCCGCGUGCGGGAUGAAGGCCUUCGGGUUGUAAACCGCUGUCGUAGAGGAGGAAAUGCAGGGGGGUUCUCCCCUCUGUUUGACCUAUUCUAGGAGGAAGUACGGGCUAAGUUCGUGCCAGCAGCCGCGGUAA
rnacentral:rRNA from 1 species